rnacentral:tRNA from 1 species
GGGCUGGCAUGUACCAAGGGGGGGACUGACUUUUGCAAAGUCGGUGUGAUGGGUUCGAUUCCCAUCCGGUCCA